AUUGAACGCUGGCGGCAGGCCUAACACAUGCAAGUCGAGCGAGGGGCGGACGUGUGAGUAAUGUAUGGGGCUCUGCCCGAUAGAGGGGGAUAACUACUGGAAACGGUGGCUAAUACCGCAUCCUAUCGGGUGAACCCAUAUGGGAUUAGCUAGUAGGGGGGGUAAAGGCUCACCUAGGCGACGCUCUCUAGCUGGUGUGAGAGGAUGAUCAGCCACACUGGAACUGAGACACGGCCCCAACUCCUACGGGAGGGAGCAGGGGGGAAUAUUGCACAAUGGGCGCAAGCCUGAUGCAGCCAUGCCGCGUGGAUGAAGAAGGCCUUAGGGUUGUAAAGUACUUUCAGCGGGGAGGCGUUACCCGCAGAAGAAGCACCGGCUAACUCCGUGCCAGCAGCCGCGGUAAUAC
rnacentral:rRNA from 1 species